AGUAUACAAUUUAUUUCUCCAUGGGCAACAAGACAUGCCAGCAACUGCACGGCUACUUCUCCAUUUAGCCAGACAGAGAAUAAAGGGUCCCUGUAUUCAUGCCUUCCUGGAAAUCUCAGUGCAAGGCCCUAUCAGGAGGUUUCCUGGAGCAGCUAAGGGAACAGCUAGACCACCCAGGAAGAAAUGACAGAAGCCUACCUGACUUCCAAUCUGCUUGCUUCAUGGUGUAAUGGGGGCCUAGACAGAAGCACCCCAAGGACACUUACAACAACUGUUCUGCCAGCUCUAGUCCAUUGGAGAAGAUGUGCCAACAUACCUUCUCACCAUCCCUAGAGCCCAACCUUGCUAUGGAAAGGUCAAACCCUUACCAUUGGCCCUGCCAAGGAUCCCCAGACAGAGAAGCACAAUGGAGGCCAUAAAUUAUGGCUUCUUAUCAUGGCCUCCACAUAACUUAAACUCUGGAUGGUGAAUGAAAUCUGGGGCCAAGUCUUAAAGGGUCAGGGUAGCCAAUGAGCAUAACUCAAUAUUUGUGUUUCUAAGAGAAAACCACAGAACCUCCAUAUCCAUGGCAAACUGGCCAGCCACAGGCUGGAUCCAGUGUGCAGUAGUGUUUUGUGUACACCAUUCACUAUUUGUCUACUUGGGUUAAAAAUGUUUUAUAUUAGUUAGCAAUGUUUAAACAUUGGGAGAAUUAAAGGGAAAUGAAAACGUACUUCCCACAAAUACUUGCACAUAAAUAUUCACAGCAGCAUUGUUUAUAAUUGCCCAAAACUAGAAACAACCCAAAUAUCCAUCAACUGAUGAAUGAUAAACAAGUUGUGGUAUAUUCAUCCAAUAAAACAAUAUUCAGCAAUAAAAAUAAACAAAUCAGGCACUUAAUAUAAUUGAAUAUCAAGGUCAUUAUGUUGAGUGAAAGAGGCCAGAAAAUAAAAGUAUACACUAUUUGAUUCCAUUUAUAUAAUAUUCUAGAAAAUGAAAACCAGUCUAUACUUACAGAAAACAAGGUGGUAGCUUACAGAGAUGGGGUAGAGGGAGGGAGAGAUGACAGAGAGGCAUAAAAAAACUUUCCGGACAAUGAAAAUGUUCUGUAUUUUAAUUGUGGUGAUGGUUUCAUGGAUGUACAAGUUCAUCAAAUCUCAUCAAGUUAAAUAUAUGCAUUUAUUUUAUAUUAAGUGUACCUCAAUAAAGCAGAAAAAUUUAAAAUUGGUAAUAUUUAUAUACAAAUUGAGAUAUCUAUAUUUCUUGAAAAUCAAAAUGUCUGACAUCAUUUGGUCUACAUAUUUAUCUGCCAAAAAUACAGGAGAUAGACAGUAGCUGUCCUUUAAAAAAAACAUACAGCCAGGAAGAAGUAUAGACAGUUCCAGAGCUAAAAUGUUAGCCAUGGAUCCCAGGAAGUCCUCACUGAAAGGUGACUUUGGGAGGAAACCUGUAGAAGGUGAGGAAUUGAGCUAUGCAUAUAACCCAGGGAAGAGCAUUCUAGACAGACAUGACAGUCCAUGAGAAGAUUCUAGGCAAGGGAGGUAGCCCAGGGUCUUCAACCAACAGCAAGGAGGCUAAUCUAGCUUGGCACAGAGUAACAAGAGAUGAGAUCAGAGAAAUAACAGGGUAGAGAUGGUGUGGAGUCUUAUAGAUUAUUGAAGGGAGUUUGUCAUUUACUGGAUGAAAUAGGAAGCCUUUGGAGGGUGUUGUUAAUUGUAAUCAUGAUAGGGUUAUUACUUUUCUUAUAGUAGAGUUCAAAAGAAAGGAAAACUUAUUUUUGUAACCAGGUCAUUAACCUGGCCCCUGUAGACAUCUGAGUUUGUAAUUUCUGUCAUAUUUUAUCUAAAUAUCAUGAUAGAGAACAAAAUAUCUGACUGGUUCUGUACUGAUAGGCAGUCAGUCAUGCUGGCUAACUUUCAGAAAUAUGCCAUGUUUGGUGGUCUCCUUUCUCUCUGUUUUCUCUAGGUUGAAUAUGGGGAUUCAACCACAUCACUUCACUCUCUCACCCCUUAUAGCACACGCUUCUCUCCCUUUCCUUGGCAUCCCCUGGCCCUAUCAUGACCUGAGGUCUUCCCUACCACUUUGGGGGCUCCCAUCUAAAAAUGCAUUCUAAGUCCUCUACCUGGAACUAAUUUAUCUCCAGGUCUACACUACUGAUAACAAGAUAUACGAUCCCUUGCAAAGGAACUUGUAACACCCUGAAAUUACUCAGAAAUCACACCUCACAGGAGAUUGAGACCAUCCUGGCUAACACGGUGAAACCCCGUCUCUACUAAAAAUACAAAAAAUUAGCCAGGCGUGGUGGUGGGCGCCUGUAGUCCCAGCUACUCAGGAGGCUGAGGCAGGAGAAUGGCAUGAACCCAGGAGGAGGACCUUGCAGUGAGCCGAGAUCGCGCCACUGCACUCCAGCCCGGGCGACAGAGCAAGACUCCGUCUCAAAAAAAAAAAAAAAAAAAGAAAGAAAAGAAAUCACACCUCACAGGCAAACUCUGUAAGUGGGCUCCUGUAGGAAAGCAGCCUGUUGCAUGGCAAGAAAAAUGCCAUCUUGAAGUGAAAUCGUCAUUAAUUCCUGCAUAUCCAGGCAUUCCCACAGCAAGGUCAAGAAACAAUGCCUAUAUCAUAGAUAACUUCUCAUAAAGAUGCUUCUCUAACUUCCCCAGUGGUCAUGAAUGUCAUAAGAGGGUCUGAGACGUGACCAGCAGCGCAUGUCUUACCAAAAAAAAAAGCUUGCUACAGAAAGGAUAUUUUCUGGAGUGCCGAGUGUGGGGAUCCAUCAUCUUGUGGCUACCCAAAGCAUGGCUUCUGUUUGUUACGUCCCUACUAAAUGUUUCUUUCUGGGAAACUGAAUUUGUCAGCCUCUUUCUUUGGCCUGUCAGCUCUCUUGGCUUUCGGGGGUAGAUCUGCAUAUACCUACUCACCCAGAACAUUUGGUGAGUCAGUCAGGAGCUAAGAGGCCAAGAGACAGGAAAGGGGAAUGAAGCAUCUGUACGGGAAAUCCCAGGCCAGCCACGUCUAUGUGGGAUGGUGUGGCACGUCUGUUAGAUGCAUUUGGACUCUGUGUGACUAUGGAGACACCCUGAACAAGCUGGUUGGCCUAGAGUGGUUAUUAACUGAAAGGCAUAUGGUGCAGUGUGGUAAGGAAGGGCAGUGGAUAGCCACUGCAGUGGGUUGGCUGCUUCUGUGGGCCAUUUGUUUGUCAACACAGGUUUAGCUAGCAAUAGAAAUGAAAAGCAAAUGGCUAGAGGAAAAUUGCACCAACCUGAUAGAAAAGGACAUGUGCCUUUUCACUUCUCUGAUUGCGUCCAGUGUAGCUACAUGUUUUACCAAAAAAAAAAAGAAAAAAAAAAAGCCUGCUAUAGAAAGAAUAUUUCAGGAGGGUAGGUGUGGAAAUCUAUGGUCUCUCAGCUGCCCAAGGCAUUGCUUCUGUUCAUAGGUUCCUAUCAAAUGUUUCUUUCUGAGAAACUGGAUUUGUCAGCCUCUUUUCUCUGGCUUCCCAGCUUCCUUGGCCUUUGAGGGGGAGACCUGCAUAUAUCUGUUCACUGCAGAACAGCCCCAUACAUGAAAUGAAUUUUGAGAUUAGAGGAAGAAGUUUCAUUUAUAAGCCCAAAGCAAACAAUUAGGAAAAAAAAUUAUGCUCAGGAAGUUAGGGACUAAGAACUAACCUAAUUACAGGGCUAAAGAAGGAAAUUUGGCCAAAAUAAUCUGACAGAAUGCAAUUUCAACAAAGGCAAAUUAAACCAAGGUAAGUCACUCCAUGUACAUUUGUGUCUAAAUUAAUAUCCCUAGUCACAAAUAACAACUUAAACUUAUAGAAGUAGUUGAUGAAACCAGCUGACACAGAGAGCCAUGUAUCAAUCUUGAUUAUAGAACCUUCUGGAGAUCAUGGUUAUUUCAAAAUAUAUGGACACUGAGGGUGCAUCAAAAGGGCUAAAAGAUUAUGGCUAGAAGAUAAAAUAGAUGUGUCUCUCUAUUCCUUUCUCUAGAUAUAGCUAAAAUCUCUGGACAUCAUACAUAAACAUAAAAAUACUCGGAAAGGUGGAGACAAAAAAACAGGUCAGUUAGGGACUUUGAAACCUUAAAAAACAGCAUGGCACUGAGGUCUCUAGAUUUCCUCGUGCCUUAUAUAUUUCAUACUGGAUGCUAGAGAAGCCUGCAACCCAAAAUACCAACAUACACUGAUAAAAGAAAAAAAAGCCCCAAGAAAACCAAGGAAGGGUCAAAGGGUCAGCCUAGUGAAAAAGAAAAAAUCAUCUAAUUAAUUCAAUUUUUAAAAAAUAAUUUCAACUUUUAUUUUAGAUUCAAGGAAUAAAUGUGUAGGUUUGUUUCCUGGGUAUACUGUAUGAUGCUGAGGUUUGGGGUAUGAUUGACCCUGUCACCCAGACAGUGAUCAUAGUACCCAAUAGCUUUUCAACCCUUGCCCUCCCCCUUCCCUUGCCCCUUUAGCGGUCUCCAGUGUCUAUUGUUUCCAUAUUUAUGUCCAUGAGUAUCCACUGUUUAGCUCCAACUUAUAAGUGAAAAGAUGUGGUAUUUGUUUUUCUGUUUCUGUAUUGAUUAGCUUAUGAUAUGGUUAGGCUCUGUGUCCCCACCCAAAUCUCAUCUUGAAUUUUAAUCCCCAUAAUCCCCAUAUGUUGAGGGUGGAACAGGUGCAGAUAAUUGAAUCAUAGGGGCAGUUUCCUCUAUGCUGUUCUUAUGAUAAUGAGUGAGUUUUCAUGAGAUCCAAUGGUUUUAUAAGGGGCUUCCCCUCUUCACUUGGCACUCACUCCAUCCUGCCACCCUAUGAAGAAGGUGCAUGCUUUUCCUUUGCCUUCUGCCAUGAUUGUAAGUUUCCUGAGGCCUCCCCAGCAAUACGGAACUGUGAGUUAAUUAAAUCUCUUUCCUUUAUAAAUUACCAAGUCUCAGGUAUUUCUUCAUAGCAGCAUGAGAAUGGACUAAUACAGCUUAGGAUAAUGGCCUUCAGCUGCAUCCAUGUUGCUACAAAGGACAUGAUUUUCUUCCUUUCUAUGGCUACAUAGUAUCCUACGGUACAUAUAUACCACACUUUCUUUAUGCAGUCCACCAUUGACGGGCACCUAGGUUGAUUCUGUGUCUUUGCUAUUAUGAAUACUGCUACAAUGUACAAACAAGUACAUGUGUCUUUUCGGUAGAAUAAUUUAUUUUCUUUUGAAUAUAUACCCAGUAAUGAGAUUGCUGGGUCAAGUGGUAGUUCUAAGUUCCUUGAGAAAUCUCCAAAGUGCAGAAAUAAAAUUUUUGACAAUAACCACCCAACUCCAGCCAAACAUUAGGAGGAAAACUGUAGCCCUGUCCUGAUCCCAUCAGCAAAGGCCAAGUGGGAACGCUAUACUUCCACCUUUACCCAGAUGUAAUGAGGUGCUCUCUUUCCUCCUGAGAGUGCCAAUGAAAGCUGCACUGGGAACCUAAACCUCUACCCCCAUGUGGCAGUUAUGGGGCAGCACUUUCCUUUCCAUGCUGAUGUGGUUUCAGAUGAGGCUUGCUGAAACAGAAAAUUUAAACAAGAUCCAGAGUCUUCUGACUUAAUGCCUCAAAUGUCCACAAUAUUAAAGUUUACUCAUCACACCAAAAACCAAAAAAAAACUCAAUGUGAAUGAGAAAAGACAAUAACCAGAUGCUGUCUUAGUCUAUUUUGUGCUGCUACAGCUGAUCACCGACUGGGUAAUUUAUAAUAAACAGAAAUUUAUUGGCUCAUGGUUCCAGAGGCAGGGAAAUCCAAGAUCAAGAGGCCAGCAUCUGGCGAGGGCUUUCUUGCUAUGUCAUCCCAUGGUGGAAGAGCAAAGAGAGAAUAAGAGAGGGAGAGUAAGAAAGGAGAGGGGCAGAAAGAGAGGGCUGAACUUGUUUAAUUAAAAAAACAAACCCACUCCCAUAAUAAUGAACCCAGUCCAGUGAUGACAGCAUUAAUC
rnacentral:lncRNA from 1 species